rnacentral:rRNA from 1 species
AACGAACGCUGGCGGCAUGCCUAACACAUGCAAGUCGAACGAGACCUUCGUGUCUAGUGGCGCACGGGUGCGUAACGCGUGGGAACCUGCCCUUAGGUUCGGAAUAACUCCCCGAAAGGUGUGCUAAUACCGGAUAAUGUCUUCGGACCAAAGAUUUAUCGCCUUUGGAUGGGCCCGCGUUGGAUUAGCUAGUUGGUAGGGUAAAAGCCUACCAAGGCGACGAUCCAGAGCUGGUCGGAGAGGAUGAUCAGCCACACUGGGAAUGAGACACGGCCCAGACUCCUACGGGAGGCAGCAGUGGGGAAUAUUGGACAAGGGGCGAAAGCCUGAUCAAGCAAUGCCGCGUGAGUGAUGAAGGCCUUAGGGUUGUAAAGCUCUUUUACCCGGGAUGAUAAUGACAGUACCGGGAGAAUAAGCUCCGGCUAACUACGUG